rnacentral:rRNA from 1 species
ACUCAAAUGAAUAGACGGGGGCCCGCACAAGCGGCGGAGCAUGUGGAUUAAUUCGAUGCAACGCGAAGAACCUUACCUGGGUUUGACAUACACCAGAAAGCGGCAGAGAUGUCGCCCCCCUUGUGGUUGGUGUACAGGUGGUGCAUGGCUGUCGUCAGCUCGUGUCGUGAGAUGUUGGGUUAAGUCCCGCAACGAGCGCAACCCUUAUCUUAUGUUGCCAGCGCGUUAUGGCGGGGACUCGUGAGAGACUGCCGGGGUCAACUCGGAGGAAGGUGGGGACGACGUCAAGUCAUCAUGCCCCUUAUGUCCAGGGCUUCACACAUGCUACAAUGGCCGGUACAGAGGGCUGCGAUACCGUGAGGUGGAGCGAAUCCCUUAAAGCCGGUCUCAGUUCGGAUCGGGGUCUGCAACUCGACCCCGUGAAGUUGGAGUCGCUAGUAAUCGCAGAUCAGCAACGCUGCGGUGAAUACGUUCCCGGGCCUUGUACACACCGCCCGU